rnacentral:rRNA from 1 species
AUACGGAGGAUCCGAGCGUUAUCCGGAUUUAUUGGGUUUAAAGGGUGCGCAGGCGGGAUGUUAAGUCGGCGGUGAAAUUUUUCAGCUCAACUGUAAAAGUGCCUUCGAUACUGGCUUCCUUGAGUGUGGAUGAAGUAGGCGGAAUUUGUGGUGUAGCGGUGAAAUGCUUAGAUAUCACGAGGAACUCCGAUUGCGCAGGCAGCUUACUAAACCACUACUGACGCUCAUGCACGAAGGCGUGGGGAUCAAACAGGAUUAGAUACCCUGGUAGUCCACGCAGUAAACGAUGAUUACUAGUUGUUUGCGAUACAAUGUAAGCGACUGAGCGAAAGCGUUAAGUAAUCCACCUGGGGAGUACGUUCGCAAGAAUGAAACUCAAAGGAAUUGGCGGGG